GCCCGGGUGGCGAAGUUGGUAGACGCGCAAGACUUAAAAUUUUGUGGCCGCAAGGCCGCGCGGGUUCGAAUCCCGCCCCGGGUA
rnacentral:tRNA from 1 species